AAGCCUUGGAGGGUCUUUACUGUGUUCUGCUGUGAUGUGUCAUUCUCUCGAGAGGGCAGCAUGAAGUUAUCUAAUGUUCUCUUGUAUUUGGCCGCCCUUUUCCUCUUCUCAUUCUCCGUUUUAAAAUCAGAUCAUUUGCAAAUACCUCUUGAGAGAAGAAGAGGACUCCUUCACUGAGAAGCAGUACUUGGCUGCAGUCAGGAAAUUCACAAGUCAGCUUCUUGAUCAAGGUGCCUCCCAGUGUUAUGAUGUGCUGUCGUCUGACAUGCAGAAAAAUGCCUUAGCAGCCUGUGUGAGGCUCGGCGUGGUAGACAAGAGGAAGGUAAAUAAUGACUGUGUAUUUAGUG